CCCAAGUGUGCGAAUGAUUGUUCUCUCUUUACAAAUGAGAGCAGUUAUCACUAUUCAACGUUAUUCACUGGUUCGCUAGGGAAAAGGUUGAGCACUGGCCCUUAUCCACCUCCUCAACUUCCCUCAGAGACAAUUUGACAACUCCGGGCUUUCCCACGUAUGAUUCUGCUUGCAUGGCCUACCUUAUCUCCUACCUGGCAAACGCCUACACACCUUCAAGACCUAUCCUAACAUACACUUGUUUGAUCUUCCUGACACAUCAUUUGCCACCUUGGGCUAUAAUUUACGCAUCUCUCUUCCCCCAUUAGACUGAAUUAUCUGAUGGAAGAAUUUUGUUCAUGGAUGUUAAGGUGGUGUAGGGCAUAGUGUGUGUUCCUAAAUGUGAUAAGUAUUAAAUGAAGACGUUUGCUCAGUAUCAGAAGCAUCACUGUAUUUAUUGUGAUUUUGUUUUAUCCCUAUUACUGAGUAUGUAUUUUAAAAGCUUUAAAAGUAACUUUGCCUUAUGAAUGUGCAUUAAAAGUAAAUAUAAAUUUAAAAUACAGUAACAUUCUAAACUCAGUAUCACUUAUGAAAUUUGGAAUAUUCAAAAGUAAAUGUAAGAGCUGGCAACAUUUCAUUUAUAUUUUCUAAAGACAUUCUUUGUGUAAAGAAUUCUAUCUUCCAACCCAUAUUUUAUCUGGUUUCCAUGGCAAAGUAACCAUUCUGUGACUAGGAUGAUUGCCUCCUUUUGCCCAGUAUCACAUAUACAACAUUCUGAAGCCUACUUUCCCUUAAGAUUGUCCAUUUUACUUGAAAAGAGUCCAGAGUUUUCCAGGAGAAUUAACAACUACCAAAAGUAACACCUAGAUUCUUCUUGCCCUGGCAUUGACUGAAAAUGUAGCGGCCAAGCGUGUCUUCCUGCAUCCUCUGAGAAGGCAGUUAUUCACUGCUAAUGAGCGCUUACCUAGUGAUUGCUCCAGACAACCUGCGGGGUGGUAGUGUGUUCACACAGACACUGCCUUGAGACCCCAUCCCCGUGACAGCGCUCAAUUUGAAGCAGGUAGAUGGCAUCAAUCAGCCUAGAUGAGUUGUUACUCCUGUCCCUAAAUAGGUGUCCCUACACCCCCCAAGCACAUUGAAAGAGUAAAAAUAUUGACCAUUUGGUUGGAAUAUACAAAGAUAAGUGUACAGAUUGCUAGCUUGGAGAGUGAAAUUUCCAUAGUUUUCAGACUUGAAUUCCCAUUUUAAAAAGAUCUCAUUUUUGAGACAAAAGAGUUGUGUUGAUGGCCAAGGACAAGACUUAGUUUCCCAACAGGGUAAAUUAAUUUUGAAAACCAAAGGAGCCACAUGUUGAGAAAGGAGAAGAUAGUCAAGUUUGGUUGGAAAGGAGAGCUUGUCUGUGGUUUUUUUUAUUUCAUGGAGGAAGACUGGCCCUGAGCUAACAUCUGUGCCCAUCUUUCUCUACUUUCUACGUGGGAUGCCUACCACAGCAUGGCUUGAUGAGCGGUACCAUGUCCGCACCCGGGAUCCGAACCGGCGAACCCCAGGCUGCCAACGCAGAAUGUGCGAACUUAACUGCUGUGCCACCAUGCUGGCCCCUAAAAAAUAAUUUUGGAGAGUAACCUUAAGAAAGAUACAAGCAACUUAUCCUUACAUCUAGAAACGCAGUGUUGGAAAUAGUAAAUUAUAGGUUCUCUACUCAUAAUUUGCCUUUUGUAAUCAUUUCUUUAUUCUGUAAAGAAAUCAUCUGUAUUCUUCAGCC
ensembl:lncRNA